GACGAACGCUGGCGGCGUGCUUAACACAUGCAAGUCGAACGGAAAGGCCCUGCUUUUGUGGGGUGCUCGAGUGGCGAACGGGUGAGUAACACGUGAGUAACCUGCCCUUGACUUUGGGAUAACUUCAGGAAACUGGGGCUAAUACCGGAUAGGAGCUCCUGCUGCAUGGUGGGGGUUGGAAAGUUUCGGCGGUUGGGGAUGGACUCGCGGCUUAUCAGCUUGUUGGUGGGGUAGUGGCUUACCAAGGCUUUGACGGGUAGCCGGCCUGAGAGGGUGACCGGCCACAUGGGGACUGAGGUAGGGCCCAGACUGCUACGGGAGGCAGCAGUGGGAAAUAUUGCACAAUGGGCGGAAGCCUGAGGCAGCGACGCCGCGUGCGGGAUGACGGCCUUCGGGGUGUAAACCGCUUUCGCCUGUGACGAAGCGUGAGUGACGGUAAUGGGUAAAGAAGCACCGGCUAACUACGUG
rnacentral:rRNA from 1 species